CGGCAGGAACGUGGAGGAGCUUUACCUUCCAAAGGCUGGCUUAGAGCUUAACUAACCCCUCAGCCCUGCAUCUGCUGCUGCUGUAAGCAGGGAAGAGCAGUUGGAGUGAGAAGACAGAGGCUCACUAGUGCCUUGUGUCUCAUCCUGAUGGUGUCUUGGACUCUCUGCCUUUUCCACCUCCAUCCAGACCUGCUGAGCAGUUUCCUGAGGAAUCCUGUUCCUAAGACAGCCUCUGCAACAGCUUUGUUAGCCAAGCAUGGAAUUCUACUCAUUAGUUUUCCUGUGAGAAUAACUUCAAAACUUAAACCCAACACAGAAAGGCAGAGAGGGAAAGGUUUAAUUGUCCUGAUUCUGCUGCAGGCUGAUAAGCUCCCAUUGAUUUUCUGUAGCCAAGUCUCCAGAGUAAAUGUGGGUGAUGUUCCUGCAGGGAAAAAAAAUAUUUGUGCAUGUCAGUUCUUCAGCACCACCAGCGAACAACAGCAGAAAACAUCCAGAUUGUGUAAUUCCCAUGGAAAAUGGCAUUUGAAUGGAGAAAAAUUUCUCCUUAGAAUGUUAGUUUUAAUUUAAAAAUUUAAAAAUAUAUGUCUUUAUAUUUAUAUAUUUGACUAUAUCUAUG
ensembl:lncRNA